GACGAACGCUGGCGGCGUGCUUAACACAUGCAAGUGGAGCGACGAACCAGGGCUUGCCCUGGGGCAGAGCCGCGAACGGGUGAGUAACACGUGGGUAACGUGCCCCAAUGAUCGGGACAACCCGGGGAAACCCGGGCUAAUACCGAAUGUGCCCCCCUCGCACCAGUGAGGGGUGGAAAGGAAGCUUCGGCCUCCGCAUUGGGAUCGGCCCGCGGCCCAUUAGCUUGUUGGUGAGGUAACGGCUCACCAAGGCUGCGAUGGGUAGCUGGUCUGAGAGGACGAUCAGCCACACUGGGACUGAGACACGGCCCAGACUCCUACGGGAGGCAGCAGUGGGGAAUCUUGCGCAAUGCGCGAAAGCGUGACGCAGCAACGCCGCGUGGGGGAAGAAGGCCUUCGGGUUGUAAACCCCUUUCAGGAGGGACGAAGCGUGGGCCGUUAAUAGCGGAUCCACGUGACGGUACCUUCAGAAGAAGCCCCGGCUAACUACGUGCCAGCCGCCGCGGUAAAAC
rnacentral:rRNA from 1 species